GACGAGUUAUAAGAAGUGGGAUGGGACUUGGGCUUGGGGUAUUGGCUCCGUGCACGAUUACAGCGCCAACUAGCGUCCACAACUUUGUGGGCUCUGUCACAUUGACAUUUAGGUCGUAUAUUUGUGAAAAAAUAUCGAAAUGAAAAAAUAACAAAUAUUUUCAACUAAUAAAUUGUUGUGAUACCACGAUUUGGGUGGAAAAAAGGUUUUGAAAUCAUUUUGGUCAUUCAAAUCAAAUGAGAUCGAAAUGAGUAUCGUUUUGAAGACCGGGUUUGUGAGAGUUACAAUAUCAAAUUCCAACCACAAACCGUAUUUAAAGGAAAGUUGUUGGUAUUGGCUGGACAAGUCCGAGAUGUAGAAGAAUUAAGAACAAAACAAGGGCAGAGUUCAAUAAUUCACGCUCUCAUCAUAAGGCAAACAUCUGUGCACAACAACUACUGUGACUCAUUUUUGUACUACCACGUUGUAUAGUUUAGUUAUUUCCAAAUUGUAAACGGCUAUUAAAACAGCCCUAUCGAAAUACAGUCCACUCUUUUAUUUAAGUUCCCAGUAGGACCCUUUUCAUGCGAUUAAUUAAUGAUAUUAAAAUGUAUUAUGUAGAAUCGCUUUGCCAUUGACAGAUACAUCUGAUGACAGAGCUAACAUUAUUUCUACUUUUGACCACCAUGAGCGCUGCGAUAGAUUAUGUCCCCCCCACCUAUAGUCCGAUUUUUAAUUCGACGGAAUUCUGACAGCUGUCAUUUUUUGACAAUUCAGAUGUAAUAAGCCUUUUUUGCUUUGAAUUAUUAAUAAAUAAUAUGAAAUGAAAUUUCAUCAAGUACAAUUUACAAGAAUGAACUAUUUUUUGUUUUGUGAAUUCAAUGAACACUAAUUAUUAUGUACAUUUUAGAGAUUAAAUAGAAAAAAACGUGUUUUUAACGUAGUAAAACAACAUAUUAUCUUAUACGAAAAUAUGUAUUGAUCAUCAAUCAUCAUUAUCGUCAUCAUAAUCAACUUGGAUUAUAAAAUUGGCAUCUUGUUAAGUUGAUUAUUUUAUGAAGCUAAGAUUUUAUUAACAAAAGGAUUUUCAUAAAAAAGGUUUGUAACCCAUGGAUUAUUGGCCAGGGAGACCAGUAAUAGAAAAAUAAUUUCCCAAUUUUUUUUGUAACUUCAAAAGUAUGAUAAUAAAAAUUCAAUUAACCAUUUUGAAAUGAUCGGUACAUUUUUAAGCCUUAGUUUUUCAAGUGAAACCUUAAAUUCAAGAAAGGAUUAUUUUUUAAUUCAUGAAAAUGCUCUCCAUUCUUAGUGGGAAUGUUUCAGUGUUGACAACACUUCUGAAAUGUCAAAAUUCUUAGUACUUCGCACCCAGCGAAUUAGCAUGAAGCUACAGAUAAAAAUGGAGGCCACACUCCGAAUACCUACUUGAAGCACAAACUAAGUAUCACUAUCUCGCUCUCUGUGGGCAGACUCGCUCUUUCUAAAUAAACAAAAAAUAUAAAAUUGCUCAAAUUCAAUGAAACCAAUGUAAAAUCUUUAUUUCUUGACAUAGGUAUCUGGCACAUUGGGAUGUGUAAAUAAAACUUGAUUUUGGAAAAUACAACUUGUGGUUUUAAUGGCUUCCGAAAUGCGAUACAGGCAUAGACAAAACAAUCAUAGACAAUGACAGUUCAGAAAUGCAAAUAGUGAUGUCUUUACUUUACAUCUCCCUUUCUUUGUAAAUAAACAGAAAACAUCAUGUUGUACCUACUUUACUUACUGCUUACAUGUUGACUAUGACUCAAGAUUAGGCACAAUAAUACAGCACAACAUAUUUAUGAUUAUACUAAGAUCUAGUUAGUUAUUUAAAGAUUAUUAAAUGCCUAGUACAUGUAUACACAUAAUACAGGUAAUCACUGUAAUACUUAUGAACAUAAUAUCAUAGCAAGAUUGUAUUCAAUGCUUGACAUGUUAACAAAAUCCAACUACAGUAUCAAGUACUUAAAAUAGGCUCUAAUUUAUCAUAAAGACAAUAGUAUUAAUUUAGUAUCUUAGGAUUAGCUGAACAAGUUAUUUUUCAGUUAAGGUAAGUAUGUCAUGAAUGGUAGGUAAGUAUAACAUAAUUUAAAAUACAUUAUGGCAAACUAUUACACAUAUCAAGUAUUAUUCAAAAUCAGGUGUGCGUCAGAACCGCGGGUGGGGUAUCAUGAAAUCGAAUGAAACAUAUUCUGGUAUUUAGUAGUGUUUUACUAUUAUUUGAUAGCGAAGAUAAAAAUUUUAGUACUUAUCUAUAAACAAAAUUAAACGAAAAACAAAGUUCCACCGCCAACCUGACGUCAGGAUGGCGGGUGGGUAGUUGAACGGUGUACAAUACUUAGAAACUGUAAAUGCCAAUUUUUAGUAUCUCUUCAUUAAAUAAAUAAAAUAAUGUUAAUUCUUA